rnacentral:rRNA from 1 species
UACAGAGGUCUCAAGCGUUGUUCGGAUUCAUUGGGCGUAAAGGGUGCGUAGGCGGCGCGGUAAGUCGGGUGUGAAAUCUCGGAGCUUAACUCCGAAACUGCAUUCGAUACUGCCGUGCUUGAGGACUGGAGAGGAGACUGGAAUUUACGGUGUAGCGGUGAAAUGCGUAGAUAUCGUAAGGAAGACCAGUGGCGAAGGCGGGUCUCUGGGCCGAUACUGACACUGAGGAGCGAAAGCGUGGGGAGCGAACAGG